rnacentral:rRNA from 1 species
UACGGGGGGGGCAAGCGUUGUUCGGAAUUACUGGGCGUAAAGGGCUCGUAGGCGGCCAACUAAGUCAUACGUGAAAUCCCUCGGCUUAACCGGGGAACUGCGUCUGACACUAGAUGGCUUGAGAUUGGGAGAGGGAUGCGGAAUUCCAGGUGUAGCGGUGAAAUGCGUAGAUAUCUGGAGGAACACCGGUGGCGAAGGCGGCAUCCUGGACCAACACUGACGCUGAGGAGCGAAAGCCAGGGGAGCAAACGGG